GGGGUUGAGGCUCAGUGGUAGAGCGCUUAUCUUGCAGACAUGAGGCCCUGGGUUCAAUUCUCAGCACCA
rnacentral:tRNA from 1 species